GUCCACGCCCUAAACGAUGAUCACUGGGUGUUCGGGGAGCGAUCUCUGAGUACCGUAGCUAACGCGUGAAGUGAUCCGCCUGGGGAGUACGGUCGCAAGAUUAAACUCAAAGGAAUUGACGGGGACCCGCACAAGCGGUGGAUGAUGUGGAUUAAUUCGAUGCAACGCGAACAACCUUACCUACCCUUGACAUGUCCGGAAGGCCGCCGAGAGGUGGUUGUGCCCGAAAGGGAACCGGAACACAGGUGCUGCAUGGCUGUCGU
rnacentral:rRNA from 1 species